rnacentral:rRNA from 1 species
UCUGACCUCAAAUCAGGUAGGAUUACCCGCUGAACUUAAGCAUAUCAAUAAGCGGAGGAAAAGAAACUAACAAGGAUUCCCUUAGUAACUGCGAGUGAAGUGGGAAGAGCUCAAAUUUGAAAUCUGGCAGUCCCCUUUUUUCUUCUUUGGCUGUCUGA